AGUGAACGCUGGCGGUAGGCCUAACACAUGCAAGUCGAACGACAGCACAUUAAGAUCUUGCUUUUACGGGUGGCGAGUGGCUGACUGGUACGUGAUUCAUCUGACUCUACUUUUUCGUUGGGUUUAACGUAGUGAAACUUACGCUAAUACCGCAUUCGACCUACGGGUGAAAGCAUGGGAUCUUCCGACCUUGCGCGAUUGACUGAGCCGAUGUCGGCUUAGCUAGUUGGCGGGGUCAAGGCCCACCAAGGCGACGAUCCGUAGCUGGUCUGAGAGGAUGAUCAGCCACACUGGAACUGAGACAGGGUCAAGACUCCUACGGGAGGCAGCAGUGGGGAAUAUUGGACAAUGGGCGCAAGCCUGAUCCAGCCAUACCGCGUGGGUGAAGAAGGCCUUCGGGUUGUAAAGCCCUUUUGUUGGGAAAGAAAAGCAGCAGGUUAAUACCCAGCUGUUCUGACGGUACCCAAAGAAUAAGCACCGGCUAACUUCGUG
rnacentral:rRNA from 1 species